AUGAGCGGAUUAAAUCUCUCAACGAUAGCUGACUGGCCUCGUGCCUUGAAUAUGAUUCCAUCUUUGAGGGCUAUCACUCUUACUGCCUGUUCACUUGAAACCGCAAGCCAAUCGCUUCCCUACCUUAACCUCACGAAACUUGAGAAGCUUGAUCUGUCCGGAAAUUUUUUAGGCCACUCGCUUGCAUCAAGUUGGUUUUGGAAAGUGACGGGCCUCAAAUACCUCAAUCUUGCUACAAAUCAAUUAUCUGGAAACUUUCCAGAUGCACUAGGAAACAUGACGUCACUCAAGGUGCUUGAUUUGUCAAACAACAAUCUGGAUAUGCCUAGAAACCUGAGAAAUGUUCUUAAAAUCCUUUGUUGUUUGGAAAUACUCGACCUCUCUGAAAUUAUGUAUGGAGAUAUAGUGGGGUUGAUGGAGGGGUUGCCACGAUAA
rnacentral:rRNA from 1 species